GACGAACGCUGGCGGCGUGCUUAACACAUGCAAGUCGAACGGAAAGGCCCUGCUUUUGUGGGGUGCUCGAGUGGCGAACGGGUGAGUAACACGUGAGUAACCUGCCCUUGACUUUGGGAUAACUUCAGGAAACUGGGGCUAAUACCGGAUAGGAGCUCCUGCUGCAUGGUGGGGGUUGGAAAGUUUCGGCGGUUGGGGAUGGACUCGCGGCUUAUCCGCUUGUUGGUGGGGUAGUGGCUUACCAAGGCUUUGACGGGUAGCCGGCCUGAGAGGGUGACCGGCCACCUUGGGACUGAGAUACGGCCCAGAAUCCUACGGGAGGCAGCAGUGGGGAAUAUUGCACAAUGGGCGGAAGCCUGAUGCAGCAACGCCGCGUGCGGGAUGACGGCCUUCGGGUUGUAAACCGCUUUCGCCCGUGACGAAGCGUGAGUGACGGUAAUGGGUAAAGAAGCACCGGCUAACUACGUG
rnacentral:rRNA from 1 species